rnacentral:tRNA from 1 species
AAGAUAAGAAACCUCAAGAAUAAGCUUCUAACUUAAUUCUUUAGCAGUGAAAUCUGUUAAUAUCUUU